UUCGGGGUACACGAGUGGCGAACGGGUGAGUAACACGUGGGUGAUCUGCCCUGCUACGUUCGGGAUAAGCGUUAGGGAAACGUGGGUCUAAUACCAGAUAGGACCACGGUCUGCAUGGAUUGUGGUGGAAAGUCUUUGCGGUGUGGGAUGGGCCCGCGGCCUAUCAGCUUGUUGGUGGGGUGAUGGCCUACCAAGGCGACGACGGGUAACCGGCCUGAGAGGGUGUCCGGCCACACUGGGACUGAGAUACGGCCCAGACUCCUACGGGAGGCAGCAGUGGGGAAUAUUGCACAAUGGGCGCAAGCCUGAUGCAGCGACGCCGCGUGGGGGAUGACGGCCUUCGGGUUGUAAACCUCUUUCAGUAGGGACGAAGCGUAAGUGACGGUACCUAUAGAAGAAUCACCGGCCAACUACGUG
rnacentral:rRNA from 1 species